GAGAGAACCCAUGAGAAGGAAGAACUUGCAAUAUUAGAACGUGAAGUGAAAGCUGCUCUGAAAGCGCUUGGAAGAAAUAAAGUAACUGGAAUAGACAGGGUACAAAUAGAACUGUUCCAAACUGCAGAGGCUGAAUUGAUCUGAAAGCUAAAAAGAAU